CGGUGAGGUAGAGGUGCAGACACCAUCAGUAAUCAAUAGGAGCUCGACAAGCGUCGAUCAUUGAUGGAAGGGGAUGUUUGCCGAAGUGUUUCAUGGUGAGUCAAGUUAUGAAACGCUGGUGUAUAUCUGAAUAAGAGAUACACUGUCAUGCAUGCUUUUGGGUGCAUGGGGCGCUACUGAUCGA
rnacentral:ncRNA from 1 species